UCAUGGCCUAAUGUGGCCAUCCCUACUAUGGCAGGGAUGCCAAGGCUGGUGGAUUACUUGAGCUCAGGAAUUCUGAGCUACAAUGCACUAAGCUGAAUGGUUUUCUGCCCUUAGUGAAGCACCAAUAAGGAGAGGCCCUGGGAGCAGGCAGCCACCAGACUGCCCAAAGAUGGGUGACAGACUUAAGUGAGAAGCAGAGCAGGUCAAAGCCUUCAUGUCUAUCAGUAGCGGGAUCUGGUCCAUGAAUGGCUGUCUUUUCAGCCUGAGUGAGAUAGGAAUACCCAAUCUCAA
rnacentral:SRP_RNA from 1 species